CGAUUCAGGCCUAACACAUGCAAGUCGAGCGGAUGACGGGAGCUUGCUCCUUGAUUCAGCGGCGGACGGGUGAGUAAUGCCUAGGAAUCUGCCUGGUAGUGGGGGACAACGUUUCGAAAGGAGCGCUAAUACCGCAUACGUCCUACGGGAGAAAGCAGGGGACCUUCGGGCCUUGCGCUAUCAGAUGAGCCUAGGUCGGAUUAGCUAGUUGGUGGGGUAAUGGCUCACCAAGGCGACGAUCCGUAACUGGUCUGAGAGGAUGAUCAGUCACACUGGAACUGAGACACGGUCCAGACUCCUACGGGAGGCAGCAGUGGGGAAUAUUGGACAAUGGGCGAAAGCCUGAUCCAGCCAUGCCGCGUGUGUGAAGAAGGUCUUCGGAUUGUAAAGCACUUUAAGUUGGGAGGAAGGGCAGUAAGUUAAUACCUUGCUGUUUUGACGUUACCGACAGAAUAAGCACCGGCUAACUCUGUGCCAGCAGCCGCGGUAAUACAGAGGGUGCAAGCGUUAAUCGGAAUUACUGGGCGUAAAGCGCGCGUAGGUGGUUUGUUAAGUUGGAUGUGAAAGCCCCGGGCUCAACCUGGGAACUGCAUCCAAAACUGGCAAGCUAGAGUACGGUAGAGGGUGGUGGAAUUUCCUGUGUAGCGGUGAAAUGCGUAGAUAUAGGAAGGAACACCAGUGGCGAAGGCGACCACCUGGACUGAUACCGACACUGAGGUGCGAAGCGUGGGGAGCAAACAGGAUUAGAUACCCUGGUAGUCCACGCCGUAAACGAUGUCAACUAGCCGUUGGAAUCCUUGAGAUUUUAGUGGCGCAGCUAACGCAUUAAGUUGACCGCCUGGGGAGUACGGCCGCAA
rnacentral:rRNA from 1 species